UACGAAGGGGGCUAGCGUUGCUCGGAAUCACUGGGCGUAAAGCGCACGUAGGCGGCUUUUUAAGUCAGGGGUGAAAUCCUGGAGCUUACUACCAGAACUGCCUUUGAUACUGAGAAGCUUGAGUCCGGGAGAGGUGAGUGGAACUGCGAGUGUAGAGGUGAAAUUCGUAGAUAUUCGCAAGAACACCAGUGGCGAAGGCGGCUCACUGGCCCGGUACUGACGCUGAGGUGCGAAAGCGUGGGGAGCAACAGG
rnacentral:rRNA from 1 species